ensembl:antisense Gm42846 predicted gene 42846
UGAGGUAUAAAAAUCUGUAUUUAUAUUACAAUGACAGAAUGACACAGCACAGCCCCAUCUGUUAGACAGGUGGGAUGGGGUCCCAUUCCAGUCUGCAGUUCAGGUCUCAUAACUCAACCACCGCACUGGCACCAGGCCCCUUGUGUAGCCCCCGACUCUGGCACGGAACCUGCCCUAGUGCCCUAGUUUAGAGGCCUGAGAACUUGCUUGCUAGCCUGGGAUCAAGACCCUCUGUGCAGGCACAAGGGGUGAGAGGCUAACUGACCCACCAGAGGCAGGGAAGGCUUGGGGCACACAGAAAGGUAGAAACUGUCCAGCCACAGUUUGGUGCACAACUCCAUCUGCCUAGAAAGGCAAAGGGCUGAGCUGCCACAAAAUUCAGCCAAGGGGGCCAAUCUGGUCACCAGGAAUGGGCUCUGCUGUCAGGGGUGGAAGCAGAAUCUCAGGUGCUGGAGAUGGAGCAGGGAGUUGAUAAUCUAAGAAUUCAGGGCACAUCAGGAGCCCUGGAGUUGUG